GUCAGUAGUUUAAUAUUACCUCUGGCCACACAUUCUCAUCCCUGCGGGCAGUAUUUACACUGCUCAAAUGCCUAUAUAGGUAAAUUGUUUUCCAUGAGCACUCAAUCUUGGAUACUUGGAUUUGAACUCUGGGCUGUGUCCUGAGUUGAAUCCGCACUUGUUUUCCAAGCUUACUCACAAAGUGUAGACCUGAAGAGAGCACUUGCUGGACUUAAAACUAUUUGCAACGUGUGCUGAGACAGUAAUUAUAUUCAUCCUUGGAAUGCAAAACCUCAUUCCAGUGGAGGACACAACAAAGCAAAUUCAAGGUGACGAGUGAUAGGAUGCAAAGAAAUUGAGAAGGUCAGGAAGAUACCCACACUGAACUUUCCAAUGACUGCUUCUGUUCUUGCUGCUGACCAGGAACACCUCAGCCUGAAGCAGCAGUGAAACAGGAGAUCUUGUGAGAAAGAGGAAUAGAAGCUGUUCUGUUUUUGUGGAAGUGGAUACAAGAGGACAUCUAUAGAACAGAAGCAAGCAUGAAAAGAAUGACAGAGAAUGGCAGAGGAAAUGAGGUUCCAUCUAUUUAUUUCAAGAAACAAUAAAAUUCAAUUACAGCAAAUGCUG